CGGCAGACGGGUGAGUAACGCGUGGGAAUCUACCCAUCUCUACGGAACAACUCCGGGAAACUGGAGCUAAUACCGUAUACGCCCUUUGGGGGAAGGAUUUAUCGGGGAUGGAUGAGCCCGCGUUGGAUUAGCUAGUUGGUGGGGUAAAGGCCUACCAAGGCGACGAUCCAUAGCUGGUCUGAGAGGAUGAUCAGCUACAUUGGGACUGAGACACGGCCCAAACUCCUACGGGAGGCAGCAGUGGGGAAUAUUGGACAAUGGGCGCAAGCCUGAUCCAGCCAUGCCGCGUGAGUGAUGAAGGUCUUAGGAUUGUAAAGCUCUUUCACCGGAGAAGAUAAUGACGGUAUCCGGUGAAGAAGCCCCGGCUAACUUCGUGCCAGCAGCCGCGGUAAUACGAAGGGGGCUAGCGUUGUUCGGAAUUACUGGGCGUAAAGCGCACGUAGGCGGAUAUUUAAGUCAGGGGUGAAAUCCCAGAGCUCAACUCUGGAACUGCCUUUGAUACUGGGUAUCUUGAGUAUGGAAGAGGUAAGUGGAAUUGCGAGUGUAGAGGUGGAAUUCGUAGAUAUUCGCAGGAACACCAGUGGCGAAGGCGGCUUACUGUCCAUUACUGACGCUGAGGUGCGAAAGCGUGGGGAGCAAACAGGAUUAGAUACCUGGUAGUCCACGCCGUAAACGAUGAAUGUUAGCCGUCGGCAAGUUUACUU
rnacentral:rRNA from 1 species